GUGCCAGCAGCCGCGGUAAUACGUAGGGGGCGAGCGUUGUCCGGAAUUAUUGGGCGUAAAGCGCGCGCAGGCGGUCCUUUAAGUCUGAUGUGAAAGCCCACGGCUCAACCGUGGAGGGUCAUUGGAAACUGGGGGACUUGAGUGCAGGAGAGGAGAGCGGAAUUCCACGUGUAGCGGUGAAAUGCGUAGAGAUGUGGAGGAACACCAGUGGCGAAGGCGGCUCUCUGGCCUGUAACUGACGCUGAGGCGCGAAAGCGUGGGGAGCAAACAGGAUUAGAUACCCUGGUAGUCCACGCCGUAAACGAUGAGUGCUAAGUGUUAGAGGGGUCACACCCUUUAGUGCUGUAGCUAACGCGAUAAGCACUCCGCCUGGGAGUACGGUCGCAAGCAUGAAACUCAAAGGAAUUGACGG
rnacentral:rRNA from 1 species